ensembl:snoRNA
AAGCGCUGCCUUUGUACCCCACCGUGCCUCCGCCUGGUGUCUGGGGUCAGGUUGCAGUGCCAGAGCACGUGCUUGCGCAUAAAUGGGGCAGCCUGGCCCCCUGCGGAUGGUCCUUUUAACCGCGAGCAACAAGG